rnacentral:rRNA from 1 species
CCCCAGCGCCACCAGUGGUGACCGAUUUUAUUGGGCCUAAAGCGUCCGUAGCCGGCAUAUUAAAUCUUUUGUGAAAUUGUUGGGCUCAACUCAACAGCGUGCAGAAGAGACUGGUAUGCUUGGGACUGGGAGGGGUUAGAGGUAUUUUUGGGGGAGCGGUAAAAUGCUAUAAUCCUAAAAAGACCACCUGUGGCGAAGGCGUCUAACUAGAACAGAUCCGACGGUGAGGGACGAAAGCUAGGGGAGCGAUCCGG